rnacentral:rRNA from 1 species
UACGUAGGGUGCGAGCGCUGUCCGGAAUUAUUGGGCGUAAAGAGCUCGUAGGCGGUGUGUCGCGUCGGCCGUGAAAACCUGGGGCUCAACUCUGGGCGUGCGGUCGAUACGGGCAUCACUUGAGUUCGGCAGGGGAGACUGGAAUUCCUGGUGUAGCGGUGAAAUGCGCAGAUAUCAGGAGGAACACCGGUGGCGAAGGCGGGUCUCUGGGCCGAAACUGACGCUGAGGAGCGAAAGCGUGGGGAGCGAACAGG